CCUGAUAGGCUAGUGCAUAUCGCAUAGCACUUGCAUGGUGGAAAAUGCAAUUGAGAAUUGGUGAAACACAAGGGUUAAAGUGGUGUGUUAUCCAUCGUAAGAUUUGGAAAGUCUAUCUGGCAUGGGCCGGACAAUAAUUUUUUAAUAACUACAUUGACUAACCUGAAAUUUUUAGAGAAAUACGUGGAUGUAAAUGUAGAGGACGAAUAUUUAAUUUCAAACAAAGCCUGGAACGUGGA
rnacentral:lncRNA from 1 species